GUCCCAUAACGAACGCGCAACCCUUACCUUUAGUUGCCAUCAGGUAAUGCGUGGGACUCUAAGGAACUGCCUACGCAAGUAGUGAGGAAGGCGGGGAUGACGUCAAAUCAGCACGGCCCUUACGUCCAGGGCUACACACGUGCUACAAUGGCCGAUACAGAGGGCAGCUACCUGGUGACAGGAUGCAAAUCUCCAAAGUCGGUCUCAGUUCGGAUCGGAGUCUGCAACCCGACUCCGUGAAGUUGGAUUCGCUAGUAAUCGCGCAUCAGCCAUGGCGCGGUGAAUACGUUCCCGGGCCUU
rnacentral:rRNA from 1 species